rnacentral:rRNA from 1 species
AGAUUGAACGCUGGCGGAAUGCUUUACACAUGCAAGUCGAGCGGCAGCGCGGGGCAACCUGGCGGCGAGCGGCGAACGGGUGAGUAAUGCAUCGGAACGUGUCCAUGUCGUGGGGGAUAGCCCGGCGAAAGCCGGAUUAAUACCGCAUACGCCCGAGAGGGGAAAGUGGGGGACCGCAAGGCCUCACGCGAUUGGAUCGGCCGAUGUCCGAUUAGCUAGUUGGCGGGGUAAAGGCCCACCAAGGCGAUGAUCGGUAGCUGGUCUGAGAGGAUGAUCAGCCACACUGGACUGAGACACGGCCCAGACUCCGUACGGGAGCAGCAGUGGGAAUUUGGACAAGUGGGGGACAACCCGUGACU